ACUUAAGUAGUUUAAAUAAAAAUUAUGAUUUGUGGUGUCAUAGAUAUAAUAGUUAUCUUAAGUU
rnacentral:tRNA from 1 species